UCCAGAGAACUUUCCAGAGAUGGUUUGGUGCCUUCGGGAACUCUGAGACAGGUGCUGCAUGGCUGUCGUCAGCUCGUGUUGUGAAAUGUUGGGUUAAGUCCCGCAACGAGCGCAACCCUUAUCCUUUGUUGCCAGCGGUUAGGCCGGGAACUCAAAGGAGACUGCCAGUGAUAAACUGGAGGAAGGUGGGGAUGACGUCAAGUCAUCAUGGCCCUUACGAGUAGGGCUACACACGUGCUACAAUGGCGCAUACAAAGAGAAGCGACCUCGCGAGAGCAAGCGGACCUCAUAAAGUGCGUCGUAGUCCGGAUUGGAGUCUGCAACUCGACUCCAUGAAGUCGGAAUCGCUAGUAAUCGUAGAUCAGAAUGCUACGGUGAAUACGUUCCCGGGCCUUGUACACACCGCCCGUCACACCAUGGGAGUGGGUUGCAAAAGAAGUAGGUA
rnacentral:rRNA from 1 species